GUAGGUGGCAAGCGUUGUCCGGAAUUAUUGGGCGUAAAGCGCGCGCAGGCGGUUCUUUAAGUCUGAUGUGAAAGCCCACGGCUCAACCGUGGAGGGUCAUUGGAAACUGGAGAACUUGAGUACAGAAGAGGAAAGCGGAAUUCCACGUGUAGCGGUGAAAUGCGUAGAGAUGUGGAGGAACACCAGUGGCGAAGGCGGCUUUCUGGUCUGUAACUGACGCUGAGGCGCGAAAGCGUGGGGGAGCAAACAGGAUUAGAUACCCUGGUAGUCCACGCCGUAAACGAUGAGUGCUGAGUGUUAGGGGGUUUCCGCCCCCCCCUUAGUGCUGCAGCUAACGCAUUAAGCACUCCGCCUGGGAGUACGGCCGCAAGGCUG
rnacentral:rRNA from 1 species